UACAGAGGCCUCGAGCGUUAGGCGGAAUCACUGGGCUUAAAGCGUGUGUAGGCGGACUUCUAAGUACCUUGUGAAAUCCCACGGCUCACCCGUGGAACUGCUUGGUAUACUGGUUGUCUUGAGCCUUCUAGGGGCGAGUGGAACAAAUGGUGGAGCGGUGAAAUGCGUAGAUAUCAUUUGGAACGCCAAUGGUGAAAACAACUCGCUGGGGAAGUGCUGACGCUGAGACACGAAAGCCAGGGAAGCGAACGGG
rnacentral:rRNA from 1 species